AAAUGCAGUCUGGGAUUUUCCCUGCGCAGGCUUAGUUCCCAUCAUACAAGAUCCUGGCUUCUCACUAUUGUCUGUGGCCCUCUUCAGGAGGGCUAGAGGCCCAAAGUCGUCUACUGAAGUUCCACACAGACCAAUGUCCACCCGUCAGAGAGAGUGGAGGCUGGAUUUCUCCUCCUGAGUGAAGCUUCACCUAUUGUGGCUUCCUGCCUGUUUCCUCCUGUAGAGUGAGGAGUCCCCCUCAGUCAUCCAAGGCCCACCUAUCAGGGCUUUGCCAAAGGGCCACCCACUUCUACUGCUUUGUCACUUCAGAUAGAUUCCCUCAUGCUCAUCUACUCUUCUCCCAAGACAGGAAAUUCAUGUUAAGUCUAGAGAUUGCCUUGACCUAAUGUUACUUACAAUCUCAUACUAUUUGUAUGCCAACUAUAAAGAAUUAUACUGUUUCA